rnacentral:rRNA from 1 species
UACGUAGGGUGCGAGCGUUGUCCGGAAUUAUUGGGCGUAAAGAGCUCGUAGGCGGUUUGUUGCGUCUAUCGUGAAAACCUGCAGCUUAACUGUGGGCUUGCGGUGGAUACGGGCAGACUUGAGUUCGGUAGGGGGAGACUGGAAUUCCUGGUGUAGCGGUGAAAUGCGCAGAUAUCAGGAGGAACACCGGUGGCGAAGGCGGGUCUCUGGGCCGAUACUGACGCUGAGGAGCGAAAGCGUGGGGAGCAAACAGG